rnacentral:rRNA from 1 species
GGCGAACGGGUGAGUAGCACGUGGGUGAUCUGCCCUGCACUCUGGGAUAAGCCUGGGAAACUGGGUCUAAUACCGGAUAGGACCAUGCUUUAGUGUGUGUGGUGGAAAGUUUUUCGGUGUAGGAUGAGCCCGCGGCCUAUCAGCUUGUUGGUGGGGUAAUGGCCUACCAAGGCGGCGACGGGUAGCCGGACUGAGAGGUUGGUCGGCCACAUUGGGACUGAGAUACGGCCCAG